AGUUGUUAGGGAAUAAGAAGAUGGAAAUCAAAUGGAGAUGGUGGUCGUGGAUCUUAAGGGUGGAGGGGGAAGACGAAGAGAAAAAGCUUCCCUUUUUCUUUAUACUUUUUGUUUUCUUUCUCUUUUACAGCAGAGAGAGCAGAGGUUCUGUGUGAGAGAAAAAGUGGGCCUUUCAGGAAGAAGAGGAACGAUCCCUCUUUUCUUUUUUUAUUAUUUCCUUUUUAUUGUUUUUAUCCUUUUCUUUUGGUGAGAGAGCAUAAGUCAAUCUGUG
rnacentral:lncRNA from 1 species